rnacentral:lncRNA from 1 species
UUUAAGCCAGACUAAAAGUACAAACCCUGGAAAAACGGGAGAUUAUAAGUUCACAUACCAUCAAUCCACCUCUUUUGCCCAGCUGAAUUUCGCCACCGCCCAGCACGAGUUGUGCUAGCCUGCACGCACGAAAAGAAAACGAAAAAUGAACACGAGUACUUUUGGUAGAGCAAGUUCACACGAACCUGAAAUGCUGUUGACAGAUUUUGCCCUUGUAAACUCUGUAUGGAUCAGUAGGAAAUAUGAUCCAGCAGAUAAUCUUGUUCUUGUUGUGACCUUCGACCGCCGCGUUCAACAUCUCAAAUCACCCACAACAAUUUGCACCGACCUGGCUGGUGACAUUCUUUUAGAGACUUCAACUACGUGGUUCCAAGACAUGAUGGCGUCUUAUGUAGUUGAGUGUCAGUGGUCUAAAGUCUGAAUCAUCAUUCCGUACUAAAGCCU